rnacentral:rRNA from 1 species
UACGUAGGUGGCGAACGUUGUCCGGAAUCACUGGGCGUAAAGGGCGCGUAGGUGGCGCGGGCAGUCAACGGUGAAAGUUCGGGGCUCAACCCUGAAUCGGCCGUCGAUACUCCCGGGCUUGAGCACUGUAGAGGCAGAUGGAAUUCCGGGUGUAGCGGUGGAAUGCGUAGAGAUCCGGAAGAACACCGGUGGCGAAGGCGGUCUGCUGGGCAGUAGCUGACACUGAGGCGCGACAGCGUGGGGAGCAAACAGG